UAUGUAUGUAUGUAUUCCACACAUUGGGCCUUGCCAUUACAGCGAUGUAUAAUUAUGCUAGAAUUUUAAUUUUGUGCAAUAAAAUAAAAAUGGACUCUGAUGACUUUUAGGUUGUUUUUAGAUCAGUAGUCCAAGGGGAGAAUUUUAAGUGAAACAGAAUUAAUCAAUGAAGGAAGAGUGUGACUUCAAAGCCAAGGCCUGUGUACUGGACACUACUACAACAUCUGCUGUUGCUCCGAACAAUUCAGUAAACUAAAGAGGAGUUCAGCAUGGCUGUAAGGUUGGUUGGCAGAGAGCUGAUGAAGAUGGAUAUGUGAAUAUGUAUAUGUCUACAUAUUUUAAUGUUCACACAGCAUUUGUAUAAGAUUUUUAAUUUGUCUCUUCACCUUAUGUAAUAACCAGUCUCCCAACAUCUGUUCAGUGAGGAAUGUGACAUCAUGCAGGUGUUGAAUAUCUGAUUGUUUACAAACACUGAUGUGUAGAGUUUGUCUUGAUGUUGGUGAUGAGAAAGGACAAGCAAAGUUUGUGGAAAGAUGUACAUUUACCGACUUUAAGUGCAGGUGUUCAGUCAAAGUAUCAGAGUGUAUGGCAAUGAUUAAAACAUGUUUUGAGUUUUUAUUUGCA